rnacentral:misc_RNA from 1 species
GUAGGUGAACCUGCGGAGGGAUCAUUACAAGUGACCCCGGUUUACCACCGGGAUGUUCAUAACCCUUUGUUGUCCGACUCUGUUGCCUCCGGGGCGACCCUGCCUUCGGGCGGGGGCUCCGGGUGGACACUUCAAACUCUUGCGUAACUUUGCAGUCUGAGUAAAUUUAAUUAAUAAAUUAAAACUUUCAACAACGGAUCUCUUGGUUCUGGCAUCGAUGAAGAACGCAGCAUCUGACUGACUGGAGAAU